CAGCACCGCGGUAAAACGUAGGUCCCGAGCGUUGUCCGGAUUUAUUGGGCGUAAAGGGAGCGCAGGCGGUUUAGUAAGUCUGAAGUUAAAGGCAUUGGCUCAACCAAUGUAUGCCUUGGAAACUGUUAGACUUGAGUGCAGAAGGGGAGAGUGGAAUUCCAUGUGUAGCGGUGAAAUGCGUAGAUAUAUGGAGGAACACCGGUGGCGAAAGCGGCUCUCUGGUCUGUCACUGACGCUGAGGCUCGAAAGCGUGGGUAGCGAACAGGAUUAGAUACCCGCGUAGUCCCUGUCUCUUAUACAC
rnacentral:rRNA from 1 species